rnacentral:rRNA from 1 species
GAUGAACGCUGGCGGCGUGCCUAACACAUGCAAGUCGAACGGAGAUUACGGACGGAAGUUUUCGGAUGGAAGACUGUAAUUCUUAGUGGCGGACGGGUGAGUAACGCGUGGGCAACCUGCCCUAUACAGGGGGAUAGCAGCUGGAAACGGCUGGUAAGACCGCAUAAGUCGGCGAGACCGCAUGGUUUUGCCGGGAAAUGAGCAAUCAGGUAUAGGAUGGGCCCGCGUCCGAUUAGCCAGUUGGCAGGGUAAAAGCCUACCAAAGCAACGAUCGGUAGCCGGACUGAGAGGUCGGACGGCCACAUUGGGACUGAGACACGGCCCAAACUCCUACGGGAGGCAGCAGUGGGGGAUAUUGCACAAUGGAGGAAACUCUGAUGCAGCGACGCCGCGGGAGUGAAGAAGUAUUUCGGUAUGUAAAGCUCUAUCAGCAGGGAAGAUGAUGACGGUACCUGACUAAGAAACCCCGGCUAACUACGU